ACGAAGGGGGCUAGCGUUGUUCGGAAUCACUGGGCGUAAAGCGCACGUAGGCGGAUCGAUCAGUUGGGGGUGAAAUCCCAGGGCUUAACCCUGGAACUGCCUUCAAUACUGUCGAUCUUGAGUCCGAGAGAGGUGAGUGGAAUUCCUAGUGUAGAGGUGAAAUUCGUAGAUAUUAGGAAGAACACCAGUGGCGAAGGCGGCUCACUGGCUCGGUACUGACGCUGAGGUGCGAAAGCGUGGGGAGCAAACAGG
rnacentral:rRNA from 1 species